GACGAACGCUGGCGGCGUGCUUAACACAUGCAAGUCGAACGAAGUGGCGAACGGGUGAGUAACGCGUAAUCAACCUGCCCUUCAGAGGGGGACAACAGUUGGAAACGACUGCUAAUACCGCAUACUGAAGGUGGGGAUUGCGUCUGCUUAGCUCGUUGGAGGGGUAACGGCCCCCCAAGGCGAUGAUCAGAAGGCGGUCUGAGGGGAUGAACCGCCACAUUGGGACUGAGACACGGCCCAGACUCCUACGGGAGGCAGCAGUGGGGAAUCUUCCGCGAUGGACGGAAGUCUGACGGAGCAACGCCGCGUGAGUGAUGGCGGCCUUCGGGUUGUAAAGCUCUGUUAAUCGGGACGCGGUACCGGAAUAGAAAGCCACGGCUAACUACGUGCCAGCCGCCGCGGUAAUUC
rnacentral:rRNA from 1 species